rnacentral:tRNA from 1 species
UAAGAGGAAAAUCCGUCGAAUUUUUCAAUCGUGAGGGUUCAAGUCCCUCU